rnacentral:lncRNA from 1 species
CUCCUUUCUCAUGAGUUUGAAUGAGAAGCUGGGAAUAUACCUGUUCUGUACAAGGAAAAACAUUUUGUGGUAAUAUGGAAAUGAAAAUUCAGUUAUAGCUUACAAUAAUUUUAUUGCUGACCCUUAUCUUUGGAAAACUGCAUUGCUUUCUGAAGACCAAAGUCUUUUUUUCUUUCUCAGGGCUUUUCUCAGCCUUGCUUGGGACAGAUCUUCAAGAAAUGUAAUUGAAACAUGUUAGAACUUCUUUUUGGAGGAGAAACAUGCACUACAUCCAAGAACACUGGAUUUCAGCCCUCUCUUGAUGUUUCCAUGGCCUCAUGAGUGCGAUGAAGCCUUUCUUCAUGGCAGAAUGACACACAACAGAUUUGCAUCUUUAAAGAUCCUUCCUGAUUUUGCAUAUAAACAAAAUCUGGCUUAAACGGUUCAGGUGGUGAUUGUGAAGGGUUUAUAUUGAUGGAUCAGGUCUCCAUUCACCAGCAACCUCAGAGGGAACUCUGCUGUGGGCUGCUAGAACACAGAUCAGGGAAGUGAUGCUGUUUCUAAGGGACGAGCUGCAGCACAUAGGACCCAGCCAGCCUGCCUCCAUCCUGCUCAGGACAGCCAGGUUUUGACUGCCAGUGUUCCGUGGCCCUAUGGAUUUGCCAGCUCAUAUACAGCUCUGAAAAUGGAUGCACGUCUCCUAUGGACCAUACAGCACCAGACUGGUUGCAUGGAGUACUGACAGUGCAGAAAAGGUUUGCUUGUCCAUGGAACAAACCACAUGGGCAUUGUUAAUGAUGCUGCAGAGAGAAGAGAAGUUCUCAACCCAGAGGGAGAUCCCAGGAGCCUUGAAACAGUUUGGAUCCUUUAUCUACAGCGUGAGGAAAGCCUGUUUCUCUAAAGCAAAUGUGGCUGUGUCCUGAAAUCCAAGGACC